CAGAAGUACAUGGGGUCUUAACCAGGAUCUUCAGACGGUCUUUAUCCCAGUUCACUAUUUCAUCUUGUUUGAAGGCUUCCACCAUCGUUCCGCUGCCAAAGAAGUUCCCUAUCAAUAACCUCAAUGAUUACAGACCAGUGGCACUCACUCCUAUCAUCAUGAAGUGCUUUGAGAAAUUG